UACGGGGGGAGCAAGCGUUGUUCGGAUUUACUGGGCGUAAAGGGCGCGUAGGCGGCGCAACAAGUCACUUGUGAAAUCUCCGGGCUUAACCCGGAGCGGUCAAGUGAUACUGUCGUGCUAGAGUGCGGAAGGGGCUACUGGAAUUCUCGGUGUAGCGGUGAAAUGCGUAGAUAUCGAGAGGAACACCUGCGGCGAAGGCGGGUAGCUGGGCCGACACUGACACUGAGAGACGAAAGCUAGGGGAGCAAAUGGG
rnacentral:rRNA from 1 species